CAGGGAUUGCCCCAGUAACGGCGAGUGAAGCGGCAACAGCUCAAAUUUGAAAUCUGGCCCCCGGGCCCGAGUUGUAAUUUGUAGAGGAUGCUUUUGGCGAGGUGCCUUCCGAGUUCCCUGGAACGGGACGCCAUAGAGGGUGAGAGCCCCGUCUGGUCGGACACCGAGCCUCUGUAAAGCUCCUUCGACGAGUCGAGUAGUUUGGGAAUGCUGCUCAAAAUGGGAGGUAUAUGUCUUCUAAAGCUAAAUAUUGGCCAGAGACCGAUAGCGCACAAGUAGAGUGAUCGAAAGAUGAAAAGCACUUUGAAAAGAGGGUUAAAAAGUACGUGAAAUUGUUGAAAGGGAAGCGCCUGUGACCAGACUUGGGCCCGGUGAAUCAUCCAGCGUUCUCGCUGGUGCACUUUGCCGGGCCCAGGCCAGCAUCAGUUUGGCGCGGGGGAAAAAGGUGGCGGGAACGUGGCUCCCUCGGGAGUGUUAUAGCCCGCCGCGUAAUACCCUGCGCUGGACUGAGGUACGCGCUCCGCAAGGAUGCUGGCGUAAUGGUCAUCAGCGACCCGUCUUGAAACACGGACCAAGGAGUCGUCUUCGUAUGCGAGUGUUCGGGUGUCAAACCCCUACGCGUAAUGAAAGUGAACGCAGGUGAGAGCUUCGGCGCAUCAUCGACCGAUCCUGAUGUUCUCGGAUGGAUUUGAGUAAGAGCAUACGGGGCCGGACCCGAAAGAAGGUGAACUAUGCCUGUAUAGGGUGAAGCCAGAGGAAACUCUGGUGGAGGCUCGCAGCGGUUCUGACGUGCGAAUCGAUCGUCAAAUAUGGGCAUGGGGGCGAAAGACUAAUCGAACCU
rnacentral:rRNA from 1 species